GACGAACGCUGGCGGCGUGCUUAACACAUGCAAGUCGAACGGAAAGGCCCUGCUUUUGUGGGGUGCUCGAGUGGCGAACGGGUGAGUAACACGUGAGUAACCUGCCCUUGACUUUGGGAUAACUUCAGGAAUCUGGGGCUAAUACCGGAUAGGAGCUCCUGCUGCAUGGUGGGGGUUGGAAAGUUUCGGCGGUUGGGGAUGGACUCGCGGCUUAUCAGCUUGUUGGUGGGGUAGUGGCUUACCAAGGCUUUGACGGGUAGCCGGCCUGAGAGGGUGACCGGCCACAUUGGGACUGAGAUACGGCCCAGACUCCUACGGGAGGCAGCAGUGGGGAAUAUUGCACAAUGGGCGGAAGCCUGAUGCAGCAACGCCGCGUGCGGGAUGACGGCCUUCGGGUUGUAAACCGCUUUCGCCUGUGACGAAGCGUGAGUGACGGUAAUGGGUAAAGAAGCACCGGCUAACUACGUGCCAGCAGCCGCGGUGAUACGUAGGGUGCGAGCGUUGUCCGGAUUUAUUGGGCGUAAAGGGCUCGUAGGUGGUUGAUCGCGUCGGAAGUGUAAUCUUGGGGCUUAACCCUGAGCGUGCUUUCGAUACGGGUUGACUUGAGGAAGGUAGGGGAGAAUGGAAUUCCUGGUGGAGCGGUGGAAUGCGCAGAUAUCAGGAGGAACACCAGUGGCGAAGGCGGUUCUCUGGGCCUUUCCUGACGCUGAGGAGCGAAAGCGUGGGGAGCGAACAGGCUUAGAUACCCUGGUAGUCCACGCUGUAAACGGUGGGUACUAGGUGUGGGGUCCAUUCCACGGGUUCCGUGCCGUAGCUAACGCUUUAAGUACCCCGCCUGGGGAGUACGGCCGCAAGGCUAAAACUCAAAGGAAUUGACGGGGCCCCGCACAAGCGGCGGAGCAUGCGGAUUAAUUCGAUGCAACGCGUAGAACCUUACCUGGGUUUGACAUGGAUCGGGAGUGCUCAGAGAUGGGUGUGCCUCUUUUGGGGUCGGUUCACAGGUGGUGCAUGGCUGUCGUCAGCUCGUGUCGUGAGAUGUUGGGUUAAGUCCCGCAACGAGCGCAACCCUUGUUCACUGUUGCCAGCACGUUAUGGUGGGGACUCAGUGGAGACCGCCGGGGUCAACUCGGAGGAAGGUGGGGAUGACGUCAAGUCAUCAUGCCCCUUAUGUCCAGGGCUUCACGCAUGCUACAAUGGCUGGUACAGAGAGUGGCGAGCCUGUGAGGGUGAGCGAAUCUCGGAAAGCCGGUCUCAGUCCGGAUUGGGGUCUGCAACUCGACCUCAUGAAGUCGGAGUCGCUAGUAAUCGCAGAUCAGCAACGCUGCGGUGAAUACGUUCCCGGG
rnacentral:rRNA from 1 species